GAUGUGGCCUAGUGGUUAGAGCAUUCGCCUCAGAUGUGGGAGGUCAUGGGUUAAAACCCUGGCUGAGUCA